rnacentral:rRNA from 1 species
ACAAUGGAGAGUUUGAUCCUGGCUCAGGAUGAACGCUAGCGGCAGGCCUAAUACAUGCAAGUCGGA